rnacentral:rRNA from 1 species
CCUACGGGGUGCAGCAGUGGGGAAUAUUGCACAAUGGGGGAAACCCUGAUGCAGCGACGCCGCGUGAGUGAAGAAGUAAUUCGUUAUGUAAAGCUCUAUCAGCAGGGAAGAAAAUGACGGUACCUGAGUAAGAAGCCCAGGCUAACUACGUGCCAGCAGCCACGGUAAUACGGAGGGGGCAAGCGGUAGCCGGAUUUACUGGGUGUAAAGGGAGCGGAGACGGCAGUGCAAGUCUGGAGGUAAAGGCGGGGGCUCAACCCCCGGACUGCUCUGGAAACUGUACGGCUGGAGUGCAGGAGAGGUAAGUGGAAUUGCUAGUGUAGCGGUGAAAUGCGUAGAUAUUAGGCGGAACACCAGUGGCGAAGGCGGCUUACUGGACUGUAACUGACGUUGAGGCUCGAAAGCGUGGGGAGCAAACAGGAUUAGAUACCCUUGUAGUC